AGGGAGGCAUAGAGAGAGCGGGAGACAGGAGGGAGGGAUACAGUUAGAGGGAGGUAGGGACACACAGACAGAUAAGGAGACAGAAGCAUUCCCGCUAAUUAUGCCACAUAUGUUUACAUGAUACCUGUAGCUGGUAGCUUUGUAGCUAGCUUCUAGCAUGUUACUUUCGUUUACGUCUUCGCUUAGUUCUUUCUGGAACGGGUGCUUCGUCGUUGACGAGGUACCUUUUGUAACGUACUGGAUCCAUUAUUUUUCUUUAUCUGUUGCUUAUUUACCGCAGACCGUAAACCAUAAUGGCAAGCAUGUAUCCACUCUGCUCCGAUCGGCCGCUACAGCGUCGCGUGCGAAUGACGUCAUCAAUCGCGCUGGGCCGCUUGUUGAUGACGUCAUUCCCAUGCAGGCGCGAUCGCGCCGAAAGAUAACGGCUGGGACUAAGUAUAAAGUAUUAAAAAUGGAGACAUCAGCGUUCCGCUAUGUCCUACUUGAAUGGACUGAGGGUGAUGAUAGUGGGGCGCACAGUAUUUUGACGAUGGACUGUGUCCGGGACUUUUCAGUUCAAGAUUUUUUUGCCUCGACUGAACAAAACGAGAAGCUGGUGGAAUGACGAAAAGGCCGCCAACCCUGGCCGGUUCACCGAGCCAAAAUUGUUGACGUGGCAAAAUUUGAAAAACCUCCAAAUUAAACUGCGUGAGAUCGAGGUGGAGAUCGAGGGCACACAAACAAAACGUCCUCACAUCCCAAACUCAAAGUACAUUGAGCAGCAGGGGAAGACUGAGAAGGCUUUAAAAAAAAGAGGGAGGGUCUUCCAAAUACAAGCACCAGGAGGGUGAGAAGCAGGAGGAGGGUCAAAGAACAAGGUACACUACCAGUCGUCCUGUGUGUGCUGUUACAUUACAAUACAUUCAUGGUUCCUCUGUUUCUCCCUCUCCCUCCAAAGGUUGCCGUGAAAAAGAAAAAUCUUUCUAAAUACGAGGAGGAGGAGGAGGGAGAAGUGGAUGAUGAGGCGCGUCAUGACACAAAGAACAAGCGGGCCAGAGAAGAGGAGGAGCAUAUUGGGGAUGAAGACGACAAAGUACCAGCCUCAAAGAAAAAGAGCGCUGCUGAAUUUAGAAAGCAACUGGACGAACAGAUGUGGGAGAGAAAAAACAAAUGCAAAGAAAUUUGCAGGAGUUGCGAAAUGAAGUUCAGUCUCUCAAAAGUGAAAAUGCACAUCUGAAAGAUGUUCUGGAAUGGGAAGCAACCUGAAUGGUUCAAAAACGUGAUGUGGGAAGCCAACUAGAGGGGACGGGGAGCAGCUGGUUGCCCUGGACAAAAUAAAAAAGGCAGCCAUUAUUGGCAUCAAUGGAGACUGCAUAAGAUGCUACAUUGAAGAAGUGGCCGGCAGCCAGCCGAGGGCAGAUAGGCACAGCUAUAAAUUCCAAGCUCGCAGAGAUGCGAAGAUCCAUGAAAUUAUUUUUUUUCCUUUCCAUUUUUUGUCAUUUUUGUUUUUGUACAUUUUGAUAGUCCUUAAAUAAAUAAUGUAAAUUUCUACGUUUUGGGCUUUUAUUUUUGUUUCCUAGUAGCUAUGGAUUUUCAUAAUUGUACUAAUAUACAGGUGAACAU